rnacentral:rRNA from 1 species
GACGAACGCUGGCGGCGUGCUUAACACAUGCAAGUCGAGCGGUAAGGCCCUUUCGGGGGUACACGAGCGGCGAACGGGUGAGUAACACGUGGGUGACCUGCCCUCAGCUCUGGGAUAAGCCUGGGAAACUGGGUCUAAUACUGGAUAUGACUCCACGGUGCAUGUCGUGGGGUGGAAAGCCUUGUGCGGCUGAGGAUGGGCCCGCGGCCUAUCAGCUUGUUGGUGGGGAUGGCCUACCAAGGCGACGACGGGUAGCCGGCCUGAGAGGGCGACCGGCCACACUGGGACUGAGACACGGCCCAGACUCCUACGGGAGGCAGCAGUGGGGAAUCUUGCGCAAUGGGCGAAAGCCUGACGCAGCGACGCCGCGUGA